ACAAGAAAGCCACGGCUAAUUACGGUGCCAGCAGCUGCGGUAAUAACGUAGGUGCCAAGCGUUGUCCUGGAUUUAUUGGGCGUAAAAGCGAGCGCAGGUGUUUUCUUAAGUCUGAUGUGAAAGCCCCCCGGCUCAACCGGGGAGGGUCAUUGGAAACUGGGAGACUUGAGUGCAGAAGAGGAGAGUGGAAUUCCAUGUGUAGCGGUGAAAUGCGUAGAUAUAUGGAGGAACACCAGUGGCGAAGGCGGCUCUCUGGUCUGUAACUGACGCUGAGGCUCGAAAGCGUGGGGAGCAAACAGGAUUAGAUACCCUGGUAGUCCACGCCGUAAACGAUGAGUGCUAAGUGUUGGAGGGUUUCCGCCCUUCAGUGCUGCAGCUAACGCAUUAAGCACUCCGCCUGGGGAGUACGACCGCAAGGUUGAAACUCAAAGGAAUUGACGGGGGCCCGCACAAGCGGUGGAGCAUGUGGUUUAAUUGGAAGCAACGCGAAGAACCUUACCAGGUCUUGACAUCCUUUGACCACUCUAGAGAUAGAGCUUCCCCUUCGGGGGCAAAGUGACAGGUGGUGCAUGGUUGUCGUCAGCUCGUGUCGUGAGAUGUUGGGUUAAGUCCCGCAACGAGCGCAACCCUUAUUGUUAGUUGCCAUCAUUCAGUUGGGCACUCUAGCAAGACUGCCGGUGACAAACCGGAGGAAGGUGGGGAUGACGUCAAAUCAUCAUGCCCCUUAUGACCUGGGCUACACACGUGCUACAAUGGGAAGUACAACGAGUUGCGAAGUCGCGAGGCUAAGCUAAUCUCUUAAAGCUUCUCUCAGUUCGGAUUGCAGGCUGCAACUCGCCUGCAUGAAGCCGGAAUCGCUAGUAAUCGCGGAUCAGCACGCCGCGGUGAAUACGUUCCCGGGCCUUGUACACACCGCCCGUCACACCACGAGAGUUUGUAACACCCGAAGUCGGUGAGGUAACCUUUUGGAGCCAGCCG
rnacentral:rRNA from 1 species